GACGAACGCUGGCGGCGUGCCUAACACAUGCAAGUCGAACGGGGUGAUUCCUUCGGGGAUCACUUAGUGGCGAACGGGUGAGUAACGCGUGAGAAACCUGCCUUCCAGUGGGGGACAACAGUUAGAAAUGACUGCUAAUACCGCAUAAUGUUUCGAGGGGCAUCCCUUGAAAACCAAAGCUUUAUGUGCUGGAAGAUGGUCUCGCGUCUGAUUAGCUAGAUGGCGGGGUAACGGCCCACCAUGGCGACGACCAGUAGCCGGUCUGGGAGGAUGAACGGCCACAUUGGGACUGAGAUACGGCCCAG
rnacentral:rRNA from 1 species